rnacentral:lncRNA from 1 species
UCCACGUCCUUUUCAAAUGAACCCUCAGGCACCUCCUUCUGAGCGGGUUCUUCGUCAACCACAGCCUGUUUGCCCUUAGCCUCGGCAAGAGCCUCGACAUUGUUGUCUCUUAAAGGUUGUGGAGCAAACAGCCGUCCACUUCGAGUAAAGCCUCCUGGUCCACCAACAUUGUCCACAACUGGACUUGCACUCACCACAAGAGCUCUACUGGGCACACUAAUUAU